rnacentral:tmRNA from 1 species
GGGGAUGAUCGGUUUCGACUGCGGUUGUCGAGGCAGAGGAAGCGAGCCGAGGAAUGCGGCAAUGAUCUCGUAAACCACCUGUCGCAAAACAAUAAUCGCCAAUCACAAGCGCGAUUCCUUCGCCCUCGCUGCCUGAUCUAAUCAGCUAGCGACUCUGCGGAGUGUCAGCCCGGGACUGUUCCCGACCCGGAUCCUGACAUCAUCAAGGGAACUAAACCACUGGGCCCGGCCACGGGGCCCGGUGGGAAAUCAAACAGUGGCUGGGCCCGUCGGCAGCUUGUCCGCGUGACAGCCGGGGCCGAGAAAAGCACAGCGGACUGCGCUCGGAGAAGCUCUGGUUCCGCACCGUAGGACGCGGGUUCGAUUCCCGCCAUCUCCACGA